rnacentral:rRNA from 1 species
UACGAAGGGGGCUAGCGUUGUUUCGGAAUCACUGGGCGUAAAGCGCACGUAGGCGGAUCUUUAAGUCAGGGGUGAAAUCCCGAGGCUCAACCUCGGAACUGCCUUUGAUACUGGGGGAUCUCGAGUCCGGGAGAGGUGAGUGGAACUGCGAGUGUAGAGGUGAAAUUCGUAGAUAUUCGCAAGAACACCAGUGGCGAAGGCGGCUCACUGGCCCGGAACUGACGCUGAGGUGCGAAAGCGUGGGGGAGCAAACAGG